GGAUAUUCAUGUAAACGUCUUCAAACUUUGUAUACUUACUAAUUUUGAGGUGGUCUUUUUAGUGAUUUGGUCCAUUUCUUAAUUUGGGCACUUUUUAACACUCGUCUCGAGUCCACUCAUCAACUUCGGAAUGGCUAAGCCCGACGCAGAACGCGUCAUAUGGAUGCGCAGUCAACACGAAUUGAUGUGUAGCCAGUACACAGCCGUAAAUUCUCGCGAGGAUUUGCAUUUGUGUACAGGCUACACCUGAAUGACAGCAGAAUCUAUUGAAAUAUUAGCAAGGUGGGGUUGGAAACCGCAACCGCAACUUUGGAGAACCCUUUCUUAUUGUCGAUUUCAAGUCACUUUUCAACGCGCGGGUCCCAAGUUCGUUACGAACUUCGCAAUGAAGUUCGCAAGUACAUCUCAAUGUUCGAACUUCGUUUGUAAACGAAUGUUCAUA